rnacentral:rRNA from 1 species
GAUGAACGCUGGCGGCGUGCCUAAUACAUGCAAGUCGAGCGAACAGAUGAGGAGCUUGCUCCUCUGACGUUAGCGGCGGACGGGUGAGUAACACGUGGAUAACCUACCUAUAAGACUGGGAUAACUUCGGGAAACCGGAGCUAAUACCGGAUAAUAUAGUGAACCGCAUGGUUCAAUAGUGAAAGACGGUUUUGCUGUCACUUAUAGAUGGAUCCGCGCCGCAUUAGCUAGUUGGUAAGGUAACGGCUUACCAAGGCAACGAUGCGUAGCCGACCUGAGAGGGUGAUCAGCCACACUGGAACUGAGACACGGUCCAGACUCCUACGGGAGGCAGCAGUAGGGAAUCUUCCGCAAUGGGCGAAAGCCUGACGGAGCAACGCCGCGUGAGUGAUGAAGGUCUUCGGAUCGUAAAACUCUGUUAUUAGGGAAGAACAAAUGUGUAAGUAACUAUGCACGUCUUGACGGUACCUAAACAGAAAGCCACGGCUAACUACGUG